CCCAAAUACCUAACCCUAGCCAUCUUCUAACUUUCUCUCUGUGUGUGAAAACGGCUGAGACAACCCCUCUUUUUGAAAAAAAAAAAAAAGCCCUAAUCCCUUCAUCUUCUCAAGAGCAGCUGCCACCCCUUCUCCUUCCUCAGCUCAGUCUCACACAGAUCAGAUCUCCUCCCCUUAACCUAAAACCUAGCCGCUUCCCCCUUAUUCCCUCAUCUUCUCCUAAUAGAACACUCCUUCCUCUUAGCAAAAAAAACCUAGCUGCCCAAUUAAGAAAUGCUCUCAAAUUCCUCACACGCGUUGUUCUCGUCUCAUCUCUCUCUGAAUUCAUAGACACUCACAUGCACAAAUUCACUCUCCAUUCCUCAUUCAUAUAUGGCUCACUUUUACAAAAGCCGAAAACAAUCCUUUGAAUUCAAGGAGAUUGAACCUCAGAUUUAGAAACAAAAAGCUUAAGAAAUGGGAAACAAAUGCAUGAACAAAAGAGGAUUUCACAAUUAGCUCAACUUCUACCAUUCUACUUCAUUUUCCUGGGAGUUCGAGUGAUCCUAGAGCUGUGAGAAGUGCUAUUUGCAAUUGUUAUUCUGUUGAAUUCUUAGCUGAGCUCAAGCCUUCGUGCUUAGCCUUUGCCUGACAUUCCCUAUUUGCAUUCUUCUGGCAUAAAGAUCCCAGAGCAGCAGCUUUCGAACCGUAGCUUUGGGUGGCUACCUUCAAUCCAGCCGGAGAUUUCGAGGUAGUCCUGCAGGCGUCCGCAGGACUUGGCAUCUUCUCCUACCCUUUUAGUCUAUUUCUUUUAUAUAUUUCAGAGACAAUGUUGUAAUAAAUCUUUCAGACUUUAAUUUGUAGUAUUCCUAGACAGUCUGUGGAAUUGUGACACCAGUCUUGGGUAGUUUUUUGUAUGGAUUGAUAUUGACAUCUUUCUUAAAUUAUUUCAUUUCAGUCUUCCGCUUAUUA